GCUUCGGUGGUGUAGUGGUAGAGCACUCUUCCGCGGAUGGGGUGGAGAGCGGGUUCAAUUCCCGUCUGGGGCC